AUGCAUUCAUUUUUUUUCCCCAUUCUGGAAAAGUGGAUUAGAAUGUCUGUGAACUUCAGAAUGAAGAUCAUCUCCAUCCUCUACCUGAUCUCAGGCCCAGUGUGCUGCUCUGAUGUGUUUGGCUAUUCAGGAGGAAGUGUCACUAUAAUACCCGAUCUGCAAUGGGAUGUAAAUAAUACGAGAUAUAUUUGUAAGAUGGAACAAAGUGGCUGCCUAAAUAUAAUCAGGGACCAGACUCUGAGCAAGUCUGUUUUUAGUGGAAGAUUCGAGAUGUAUUCAAAUACAGCAGGCAACUUUAUAGCGAUGAUCAGAGAGCUAAACCCACAGGACUCUGCCGUUUACAGAUUUGGAGUUGGGAAUGAAAAGCAUAAGGACGUUGAGCUGACCGUUCAGAGUGGUGAGACAAUUUGACCUGUUGAAGCUCUUGGGUUUCUAAAAUAUUUAAGAAAAUAACGAUAUAUAUAAAUGAGACAUUGAUCCCAAACACACUCUUGUUUAAUCAGCUAAUGAAUAAACCAUAUGGUUGUUUAUAUAACUGACAGAUUCUUGUUGUGGGGGAAUUAAAAGAAUGAAAGCUUAUCUGGGAGAGACGGUCACCUUCAAAUGUAGCUAUCCAUAUGAGUUCAAGACAAACAACAAGCGGUUAAUCAACCUCAACAAUCAAACUACUGUUAAAGUGAUAAUUUACACUCGAAAAGAGGCUCAGAAAAAGCACAAUGGCAGAUUCUCCAUCGUUGAUGACAGAAGCUCUAACGUCUUCAGUGUGAACAUCAGUGAUGUGAGAGAAGAUGAUGGAGGAGUUUAUCUGUGUGGAGUGAAGAGGACAGAGAAGUCAGUGGGUUAUUACAACUAUUUCAAAGAGAUUCAACUACGAGUUACUGGUGAGAUACGUUAACUUUACAUUUGCUUAAUUCUGCUCUAUCGGGUUUGGAAAAUGAAUAUGAACUCUGUCUCAUGACAUUGUUUUCUUUAAGGCAAUCAAUGUGACUAGUGAGCUGACACUCACUAGUCACACUGAAACCAAUGCUUAAAUCAAAAACAACAACAUGCAGAGUGCAUGAUUCACAGGAAAUCACCUCAUUUUUAGACCACAGAGAACAGAGGACGUCACAAUGUCUAAUGUUAGGGUCCAUUUGGUGGUGUGGUUGGUGUAAUGGGUGAAAUCACUGAACUCCAUUUAGCCAACUGGGGUUUAAGGCCCCUCCUUGGCAAGCGCUUAAAAGUCCUCCUAGUGUCACAUUCUUCUACAUCUGUAACACGAUUAACCUGUAAGACUAACGUAAUGUUCUCCUGUAACAUGUAUAAGUAACAAUGCAAAUCACUUGGGAUGAAAGGAUCUAUCCAGUGCACAAAUACUAUCAAAAUCAAUGGGCCCACUAGGAGAGAGAGAGAGAGAAUGAGAGAGACAGACAGUUGUCAACAUGGCACCAUCUCUCCCACCCCACCCCCCACCCAGCAACUGCCCAAAAAAGGAGUAAUUACAUAUAAACUCCAGAAGCACAGAAAAAAGCAGAACCUUCAGUAGAUUGGGUCUGUUUGUAAACGUAUCCAUUAUUAAAGUUGAAUGUCAUAUUUUUAUAUUUCUUAAACACAAAAGAAAAACCAACUGCACUACCAGAAAGUCCAAGCACAACUAUAGACCCAACUACAGCUACAACCUACUGGAGCAAAUCAGCAGCACCAGCAGAAGCAGAAACAUCUGAUGAAGAACAUCUCAGUAAGAACUCCAUCAUUAUUCAUAACUUCCUCUUUUCAUUCUAUAUUCAUGUUUCAUGUGUUCAGCAAGGAGUUCAGUGCUACAGGCUCCACGUCAGGAACUGAAACUGAUGUGGAGAAGCAGCGUUCUUGAUUUGGCGGGUGUCAGGAUGCUGUGGGUUCUAAUGCCGUAACUAUGCAAAAAGACAUCCUGAGGUCUUCAACCCAAGCAGAAACUCAGUGGCACUACUGUAUACUGACCCUACUGUGACUCGAGUGUGUUAGACCCAAAAGCUUCAGUCAUACAUAUGUCUGAUUAAUGUAAGGACAUUCUAAAUCGACUAAUCCUGAGUCUCUGAGUCUCUCAUCUCCAGGUUCCUCUGUCAUCAUCACUGUAUUUGUCUGUGUGGCUCUGUUGCUGAUUGGAGGAUCAGCACUGAUCGUCUACAAAGUGAGGAACCACAUGAUACAGGGUAUGCAAAUUACAGUUUUACAUGGUGUCCUUUAGUCCCCCAUUCCAAAACUAAUGCUGAAGUCUCCCUCUAGAGGACAAAGAUGAAUACACACAAAUAUCUGUAUGACUGAUGCUUGGAUUUGAUCUAUUUUCACAGUCUCAGCCUCGACUGGCCAGAGAACAGACAAAAAUAAUGUGAGUUAAAUCUGUUGCUCAAUUAAGGCAAAAAAAAAUUACUGUCAGAAGUGUCUUUUCUGCAUCUCAGCAUAAAAUUCACUGUAUGUGAGCAGAAGACCAUUUAGCUGUAUUAAGUGCCCUCAUCUGAUUUCAGGAUGAUGAUUAUGAAAAUGUUCCACAUGGAAAGCGAUACGACAUCAGCAUGAUUCCAGUCCACCAGAGCCUAAACCCCAACACAUCAGAUUUAGUCUAUGAGAACCCUGAUCCAAACACCAACCAAUCAGAUUCUGACUAUGAGAACAUAGCUGAGAACACCAACCAAUCGGAUUUCAUUAAUGAGAAUGCGAACAUCAACAGCAGUGGAUGAGGGUAUUUCACAAAGCAGGGGUUCUCAGCUACAACAUAAGAACCCGUGAUAACUGCCCAUUAGAAAUGUCCUCUUCUCUUAUUGGUCAAAACUAGACUUUUGGUUCGAGUUGUCAGAUAAAUUUACCAAAGACCUUCAAAUUCAGGUCAAUUUGAACUUUCAAUAGUCUCAGUUUUCUCCCAGCCUUAUCUUAAAAAUAAAUGUUUGUGUUUGUUUUUUGGUUUAAUGGCCUGUUUUUAUCCAGUGUAACUGUACUUGUCUAAGAUUGCCACAAAGAGAAAGAAAUCAGGAAUAAUUUAGCUGGAGUUAAAUACAUAUACCUGCAAAAUUGAGAAGCCUUAUUGCUUUAUCAGUUAAAAUUAGUUACCUUUCUAAAACUGUUUUUGAAUACAUUGACAACUUCUUGUAAUUAAUUUUAAACUAUCAAAAGCCUGAUAUCUAGAUUUUCUCUGUCAGUAUGAUCUCUAGUUGUUUUGCUAUAUAUUGAGUGCAUUUCAUUUUCAAUAAACUUAAAUCUAUCCUGGAACGUUUGUUUUCUGACUAAAAAGAUUUUUUUGUUGACACCUCUGCGCCUCCCUGGCUCCCUAGCACCAUCUCCCACUGCAACAGGGGACACUAGCAAGUGCUCCCUCUCCUGGAGAGCAAUGAGAAACUUGAAUGUUGGAGCUCCAUCAAAUUCAAAAUGAGUGAAUAUUUGCAAAAAAAAACAAAAGUUUAUCCGCUUGAACAUUAAAUAUCUUGUCUUUGUAGUGUAUUCAAUUGAACAUAGAUUGAAAAGGAUUUGCAAAUCAUCGUUUUCUGUUUUCAUUUGUUUUACACAACGUCCUAACUUCAUUGGAAUUGGGGUUGUAUAUCAUUAUAUAUAUAUAUAUAUACACAUACACACACACACACACACACACACACACAUUCUGUGGCAUCUGCCAUGGGCCAAGCUGCCGUUGGGGUGCCAUGCAAAGUGUGUUGCAAGGGAGAUGGUACCCGUCAGCUUACUCAGCUGUAAAGGCGCUUGAUGAAGGGAUUCCUACUUGCAGCUAUGAGUGAGUCUUCAAGUAUCACAGACCCGCUAACAGAGCUACACUGUGGCCUAGGGGUGUUCACCACAGCCUUGCAGUGACGCUUCAAACAGGUGCUGGUGGUGUGGUUGGACAGGCAGCUGCAUCCUGAGAGGCAGAGGCUGAAGGGAAAGUGGAUUAGUGUGUUUUGGUGGUAGACCUGAGCAUGAUGGUUUACAGAUAUACCCAACAUUCAAGAAAGCUGUGCAAGAAAAGCAGAGUUUGAACACUUACUGAGCAUGCUACUGCAGGAGGAUCCAGUACAGCACAUGAAGCACGCUGCACCAGCCAUCAUUUAAAACCACUAUCACACCAUGGCAGAGAGGACAGAAUUCAUCCUUGGUGUGGAGACACUGCAUCAGUUAACAGCACCAUGCAACACAGGAGCUUGAGGAGUAGAGGGCAUUUCGAGUGGGGCCCCCAACCAAGAGGUGGCAGAACGACU
ensembl:lncRNA